GACGAACGCUGGCGGCGUGCUUAACACAUGCAAGUCGAACGGAAAGGCCCUGCUUUUGUGGGGUGCUCGAGUGGCGAACGGGUGAGUAACACGUGAGUAACCUGCCCUUGACUUUGGGAUAACUUCAGGAAACUGGGGCUAAUACCGGAUAGGAGCUCCUGCUGCAUGGUGGGGGUUGGAAAGUUUCGGCGGUUGGGGAUGGACUCGCGGCUUAUCAGCGUGUUGGUGGGGUAGUGGCUUACCAAGGCUUUGACCGGUAGCCGGCCUGAGAGGGUGACCGGCCACAUUGGGACUGAGAUACGGCCCAGACUCCUACGGGAGGCAGCAGUGGGGAAUAUUGCACAAUGGGCGGAAGCCUGAUGCAGCAACGCCGCGUGCGGGAUGACGGCCUUCGGGUUGUAAACCGCUUUCGCCUGUGACGAAGCGUGAGUGACGGUAAUGGGUAAAGAAGCACCGGCUAACUACGUG
rnacentral:rRNA from 1 species